UGGGGAAUAUUGCGCAAUGGGCGAAAGCCUGACGCAGCAACGCCGCGUGAGUGAUGAAGGCCUUCGGGUCGUAAAGCUCUGUCGCAGGGAACGAAAACCACCGUUUGAAUAGAGCGGUGGUCUGACGGUACUCUGCAAGAAAGCCCCGGCCAACUCCGUGCCAGCAGCCGCGGUAAGACGGAGGGGGCGAGCGUUGUUCGGAAUUACUGGGCGUAAAGGGCGCGUAGGCGGUCAUGCAAGUCGGGGGUGAAAGCCCACGGCUCAACCGUGGAAUUGCCUUCGAAACUGCGUGACUUGAGUACGGAAGAGGAGAGCGGAAUUCCCAGUGUAGCGGUGAAAUGCGUAGAUAUUGGGAGGAACACCGGUGGCGAAGGCGGCUCUCUGGUCCGAAACUGACGCUGAGGCGCGAAAGCCAGGGGAGCAAACGGG
rnacentral:rRNA from 1 species